CAUAACGUUAAAAUUGGGAGCAACCUAUGAGAUUAUAUAAUCUAAGCCCUUUUGUUUUACAGAUAAAGAAAUUGAAAUCUCAUAAAACCUGUAAAUCCAGCGAGUGGUGGCCUAUGAGAGCAGGAACCAAGUCUGUUUUGUUCGUUCUUAUAUCUACGGUGCUUUACACAGCGGCAUGGGCCGUUGAUAAAUAUUUGUUGCAUUAAUGUGUGAGUGGAAACCAGGACAAGACAACCGGACUGCUCUGUAUACCUUUAGCACUUAGAUUUACAUAAGCAACAUCUAUUGCUUUUGAGCAAAUUCAGUAAUUAUUGGAUACCUUCUACCCGUAAGGGAGCAUGCAAGAUAACAGGGAUAAAGGGAUCCGUUAAGACGAAUGAUACGACUCCUGCCUAAAGUCAUUGGUUAUUACAGUUUAAUAUCAUUGAAGUAAGAUUGCAGGACAUUACGAAGGAAUGCGGGAUUUCAUCUGAUGGAACCUUUAAAUGCUUUACAAUUUCAUCCUGCAGCUCGAAUUUCACAAUGCUGGGAUCCAGAAGCAUUAGUGGUUAGACACACUCAGCGGUGCAGGUAUAAUGUGGACAUCUUUUCUUCUGUGUAUUCUGAGUCCCAAGUAUCCUAUAAGCUACGAUUGAAAUACAUACAGGACUUAUAAAGAUGUCUCACUGAUCGGGAUCACAGGACAGGUAUGUAAGUAAAUGCUGCAAGCAUUCUCUUCAUUUCUUUCUUGGCCACAUAUAUCCACCUUCACGUACACAACUGCGCAUUGUAAACUGGGUGACCGAGACUACUUAUAAAAGGCAGAAGAUUUGAGAACACAAAGGAAACAAAGAACUAUAGUAACAAUAGCAUUACUUUACCAUCAAUAGUAUUACUUUAUGAUGUUAUUAAUACUUGGCCCAAUUUUUAAAGCUACUCAUAUUAUGUUUGAGAGGAGACCUUAAGAUACAAAAAGAUGAGAGAGAAAACAAAUCAAAGCAAAUGUUUGAAGCCUCCCACUUGAUUUAUUCUCUUUAAGGGAUAUUGAGCAUAGCGUGUGAAAAAAAAAUUAAUCAUACCAGCAAUCCCAUUAUUUUGACUUGCGGUCUAAUGAAUAACACGUUGUGCAUGAUCUGUUGUAGACAGAUAAGAAACGAACAUACAAAUGAGCAUUUAACCAAUAAUCCUCAUUAAAUCAACUCAAAGCCUUGAUAGGUCAGAAAACAUUUUCAAAUAUGUCAGAGCAUGCUCAAGAAUGAGGCACCUGGUUGCAAUUCUACGCGGGAGCAGUAUUAUUAUUCACAGUCCGGUUCUGGGGAACAGCUUACCUGCCUACAAAGAGGAGAUGUAGGGAGAAUAGGGAGCAAUAGACAAGAGCUACAUGGAUAACAGAACAUUGCUUUAGAUUUGUUUGCUCUUAUAUUUGAAGAUAAUACCCAGUUUCUAUCAGCUAUUUCUAAAAGAAGCAAAUGUAGGCCAUAUCUAGCUACUUUAAGAAAGGAAAAUGUGUUUAUUUUAUACAUUUUAGAUUUUAGAUAUACACAUUUUAAGAAAGGAAAAUGUGUUUAUUUAUACCUUUAUUGCACACCCCUGUAGGAAGCAGUGGUCAAGUGUCCUUUGUGAUAUAGGUUUCAUUUUCAUUCAUGUGUAUUAGAAACAACUUACAGACUCACAUCCAGAGAAAACGAUGACUAUAGAAUAGCUACGGUUCUGGCCUUUUUUUUUUUUUUUUUUUUAGCUCUAAUUUUGGUAUUAAGAUAAUCAAAUCUGCACAUUAGACACACUUUUUUUUAAAGGGCUAUUUGACAAAAAAAUAUCCAGAAACUUCUAAAUUAAUAAAGACCUCUUUAUACAUGCA
rnacentral:lncRNA from 12 species